UCUGAUGUUACGCCCGAAGAGAUAAC
rnacentral:rasiRNA from 1 species